AACGAACGCUGGCGGCAUGCCUAACACAUGCAAGUCGAACGAGACCUUCGGGUCUAGUGGCGCACGGGUGCGUAACGCGUGGGAACCUGCCCUUAGGUUCGGAAUAACUCCCCGAAAGGGGUGCUAAUACCGGAUAAUGUCUUCGGACCAAAGAUUUAUCGCCAUUGGAUGGGCCCGCGUUGGAUUAGCUAGUUGGUAGGGUAAAAGCCUACCAAGGCGACGAUCCAUAGCUGGUCUGAGAGGAUGAUCAGCCACACUGGGACUGAGACACGGCCCAGACUCCUACGGGAGGCAGCAGUGGGGAAUAGUGGACAAUGGGCGAAAGCCUGAUCCAGCAAUGCCGGGUGAGUGAUGAAGGCCUUAGGGUUGUAAAGCUCUUUUACCCGGGAUGAUAAUGACAGUACCGGGAGAAUAAGCUCCGGCUAACUCCGUG
rnacentral:rRNA from 1 species